GAGGUCAGACACGAGCCUCGGGGCCCUGACGCUGUCCUGCCCGAGGGUGGCAGAAGGCCCGGUGCUCGUCCAGGAAUCCUCAUCAUCGUGCAGGGUCUCAAGGGCUGAUGUCCCCUUUGACCGCCCCACUCCCCCAGAAGCCCAGGAAGACAGGUGGAGCCGGCGGGCUCGGGGCCAGGGGCUCCGGCUGAGGGAGGCGGUGGAUUUCAGUGAAGGUCCAGCCCCUGAGACAGCGUCCCCCCAUCCCACAGCUUCCUCCAUUUCCUAGACUCCAGCUGUUCCAGGCGCUGGCUUCCACUCCCUCCUGGGGAAGAGGGGAGAUUGCUUUUCUCCUGGAAAGACGAGCGGAAUGCCUCAGAGCUGAUAACAUGCCGGAAGGAGAUUUUGAAUGUUGCCUUGUUCUUCGUCACACCGGACCCACAGUGUAUAUCCACUAGGAAGUGCACGUGUGCUUGCUGUAUACACACACACCCCAGCUUACCUCUGGAGAUAAAAAAACA